GACUUACGUUGAAAAGUGAGCGGAUGAACUGAGGGUAGCGGAGAAAUUCCAAUCGAACCUGGAGAUAGCUGGUUCUCUCCGAAAUAGCUUUAGGGCUAGCCUCAAGUGAUGAUUAUUGGAGGUAGAGCACUGUUUGGACGAGGGGCCCCUCUCGGGUUACCGAAUUCAGACAAACUCCGAAUGCCAAUUAAUUUAACUUGGGAGUCAGAACAUGGGUGAUAAGGUCCGUGUUCGAAAGGGAAACAGCCCAGACCACCAGCUAAGGUCCCAAAAUAUAUGUUAAGUGGAAAAGGAUGUGGCGUUGCCCAGACAACUAGGAUGUUGGCUUAGAAGCAGCCAUCAUUUAAAGAGUGCGUAAUAGCUCACUAGUCGAGUGACACUGCGCCGAAAAUGUACCGGGGCUAAACAUAUUACCGAAGCUGUGGAUUGUCCUUUGGACAAUGGUAGGAGAGCGUUCUAAGGGCGUUGAAGCAUGAUCGUAAGGACAUGUGGAGCGCUUAGAAGUGAGAAUGCCGGUGUGAGUAGCGAAAGACGGGUGAGAAUCCCGUCCACCGAUUGACUAAGGUUUCCAGAGGAAGGCUCGUCCGCUCUGGGUUAGUCGGGUCCUAAGCUGAGGCCGACAGGCGUAGGCGAUGGAUAACAGGUUGAUAUUCCUGUACCACCUAUAAUCGUUUUAAUCGAUGGGGGGACGCAGUAGGAUAGGCGAAGCGUGCGAUUGGAUUGCACGUCUAAGCAGUAAGGCUGAGUAUUAGGCAAAUCCGGUACUCGUUAAGGCUGAGCUGUGAUGGGGAGAAGACAUUGUGUCUUCGAGUCGUUGAUUUCACACUGCCGAGAAAAGCCUCUAGAUAGAAAAUAGGUGCCCGUACCGCAAACCGACACAGGUAGUCAAGAUGAGAAUUCUAAGGUGAGCGAGCGAACUCUCGUUAAGGAACUCGGCAAAAUGACCCCGUAACUUCGGGAGAAGGGGUGCUCUUUAGGGUUAACGUCCAGAAGAGCCGCAGUGAAUAGGCCCAAGCGACUGUUUAUCAAAAACACAGGUCUCUGCUAAACCGUAAGGUGAUGUAUAGGGGCUGACGCCUGCCCGGUGCUGGAAGGUUAAGAGGAGUGGUUAGCUUCUGCGAAGCUACGAAUCGAAGCCCCAGUAAACGGCGGCCGUAACUAUAACGGUCCUAAGGUAGCGAAAUUCCUUGUCGGGUAAGUUCCGACCCGCACGAAAGGCGUAACGAUUUGGGCACUGUCUCAACGAGAGACUCGGUGAAAUCAUAGUACCUGUGAAGAUGCAGGUUACCCGCGACAGGACGGAAAGACCCCGUGGAGCUUUACUGUAGCCUGAUAUUGAAAUUCGGCACAGCUUGUACAGGAUAGGUAGGAGCCUUUGAAACGUGAGCGCUAGCUUACGUGGAGGCGCUGGUGGGAUACUACCCUAGCUGUGUUGGCUUUCUAACCCGCACCACUUAUCGUGGUGGGAGACAGUGUCAGGCGGGCAGUUUGACUGGGGCGGUCGCCUCCUAAAAGGUAACGGAGGCGCUCAAAGGUUCCCUCAGAAUGGUUGGAAAUCAUUCAUAGAGUGUAAAGGCAUAAGGGAGCUUGACUGCGAGACCUACAAGUCGAGCAGGGUCGAAAGACGGACUUAGUGAUCCGGUGGUUCCGCAUGGAAGGGCCAUCGCUCAACGGAUAAAAGCUACCCCGGGGAUAACAGGCUUAUCUCCCCCAAGAGUUCACAUCGACGGGGAGGUUUGGCACCUCGAUGUCGGCUCAUCGCAUCCUGGGGCUGUAGUCGGUCCCAAGGGUUGGGCUGUUCGCCCAUUAAAGCGGUACGCGAGCUGGGUUCAGAACGUCGUGAGACAGUUCGGUCCCUAUCCGUCGUGGGCGUAGGAAAUUUGAGAGGAGCUGUCCUUAGUACGAGAGGACCGGGAUGGACAUACCUCUGGUGUACCAGUUGUCGUGCCAACGGCAUAGCUGGGUAGCUAUGUGUGGACGGGAUAAGUGCUGAAAGCAUCUAAGCAUGAAGCCCCCCUCAAGAUGAGAUUUCCCAACUUCGGUUAUAAGAUCCCUCAAAGAUGAUGAGGUUAAUAGGUUCGAGGUGGAAGCAUGGUGACAUGUGGAGCUGACGAAUACUAAUCGAUCGAAGACUUAAUCAA
rnacentral:rRNA from 1 species